rnacentral:lncRNA from 1 species
CUUUGGCCACUUCAAGAAAAUAACGCAAGCCAUCAAUGAACUCCUUAGUCCGUCUAUCCACAUUGUACAUCCAUUGUCGGUCCAUCUGCAUCGUAUUACAUGAAAAUGGACAUAGGUCUUCGUAUCAGAUAAAGAACUUGAUCAAUAUUGAUAAUUUACACCAAUCAACCUUCAUAAAGAUAAAAAUAAUUCACAUAAAAAUUACACCAAUCAAUAUUCAUAUCAUUCACUAGGUCGAC